rnacentral:rRNA from 1 species
AUGGAAGACUUUCACGCGACCAAGGCGCACGCGGAGACAUCCAUGGGCGAUCCCAUAGACGUCUUCUUCCGCGCCGUGCCACCGCCAGGUGCUUCCCGCCUCUAUGUUAACUGGACGCCUCGCCGGUUUACAAAGGGUUCGUCGUCGUCGUCGGGGGCAGGGAAAGGAGAAGAUCGCUGGGAUGGAUUUUACGGACGGGAACCCCUUGUCCUGGCCGCCAAUGGCAAUUCGAUUCUUCUGAGGCUCACUCUCAGCAACACCCGGGUAGACUUCUUCGUCUACACGGUCCACUCCACUGGGCCGCCCUCGCUCUUGCGUCUACCCGAUUGCAAACUCAGAUUCUCAAACAGUUGUCUCCGCUCUGGUGGGUUAGAUCAUAUGGUCACCCUUGGUAACAUUGGUUUUUUAUGUGAUGCUGAAAGCGAAGAAUUUGUGGUGGCAGACCUAAUGAUUUUGCCGAAACACGAUGAUGCCUCCCACCAUGAUGAUACUCCGGUGGUAGCCGGGCUUUGUAUUUUCCGGUCAUGCAGCCCUGGGGAGGACUGGAAAGCCAGCAAACCACGUAUAUGCCAUAAGAAGGGGCAAGGCGGGGAAUUAAUUUGGUGGCACACUGAUGUCGUUGUCCCCCAUGGAGUUUCCCUGUGCUACAUAGAUUAUUUCCGCGGAAUCCUGUUUUUGGAUAUUCUCAGCAAAUGCCCGCGGCUCUUGUAUGUCCGGCUUCCUCUAAUGAACCCUGUUGGUGAUCCUUAUGAUAGUGAAACUGGACGAGGGUGCCCAUCAGCUUUUAGGAGCGUGUGUGUUACCAAUGGCGGAACCAUGAAGUUUGUUGAGGUUGUCACCAGAACCGUCUUUCUUUCAGGCAGCCAGUCAGCUGCUGCUUCUUCAUUUGCAAUCAAAGUUUGGAGGCUUAGGGAACAUGGCAUGACAUGGGAGAAAGAAAGUACCAUCCAAGAUACCGAGCUCUGGUCCCUGCAGGGGUAUGGUGAUCUACUCCGUGUCCCGCCAACAUUCCCUGUUGUGAGCAUGACGAACCCGGAUGUCAUCUUUUGUGUGCUGAGCAAUGGGUGUUUCGGUGACGCCAAUGUGACAUGGGUCAUUGCGAUUGACAUGUUGAAGAAGACUCUGAGAUCAGCUUUUAGAUACAAGAAAGUACAUAGGAACAGCAUUGAGAAUGAUGGCAACAUGGCGUCUGCGAGCCUCUCUACUAAUCGUGCAUUUAUUCCCUCCCAGCUCUCCAAGUACUUAGGUCUGACUGGAGCCAGAAGGAAAAGAAGGAAUCUGGAAUGA